rnacentral:rRNA from 1 species
CUACGGGGCGCACCAGUCGAGAAUCUUCCGCAAUGGACGAAAGUCUGACGGAGCGACGCCGCGUGCGGGAUGAAGGCCUUCGGGUUGUAAACCGCUGUCAGUGGGGAGGAAAUGCAUCAGGGUUCUCCCUGGUGUUUGACCGAUCCGCAGAGGAAGCGCAGGCUAAGUUCGUGCCAGCAGCCGCGGUAACACGAACUGCGCGAACGUUAUUCGGAAUCACUGGGCUUAAAGAGUUCGUAGGCGGCCUUUCAAGUCGGGUGUGAAAUCCCUCGGCUCAACCGAGGAAUUGCGCCUGAUACUGUUGGGCUUGAGGGGGAUAGGGGUGAGCGGAACUGAUGGUGGAGCGGUGAUAUGCGUUGAUAUCAUCAGGAACACCAGUGGCGAAGGCGGCUCACUGGAUCUCUUCUGACGCUGAGGAACGAAAGCUAGGAGAGCGAACGGGAUUAGAUACCCUCGUAGUC